GGCUAAGGUUUGGAGCGACAGCCCCUCUCCCCGAGCUAGAGGGUCUCUAAUCCAAGAGCAAUCACUGAAGACAAAAUCGGUCUGCAGGUUUUUUGUGUGUGUGUGGUGCAGGUGCCUGAACUACUUCUAGAAAGUCGUCCCCACCCCCACCCCCCACCCCCGUGUUCCAGUUCAGAGGACAAAGGUCUAUCGAUGUCCAUACCUUCCCCCAGUGAGGACACCCGGGGAAGACCUGCCUGCCUCUGUUGUGUACAGGACUAAGCCAAUGGCACAGAGUUAUCCAUGAAAUCAGGUAGAAGGUACAGACCUCUGGCAGUGUUUUGAGGAUUAAAGAAUGGAGUGAUGUUGUCCAAAAGUCAGAGAACACGGCUCUG